CGGCGGGGACGACCCCGCCCCUGAUGGGUAUUGUGGGGACGGCCCCG
rnacentral:ncRNA from 1 species